rnacentral:rRNA from 1 species
GAACGCGAAGAACCUUACCAGGUCUUGACAUUGAUGGACAGAACUAGAGAUAGUUCCUCUUCUUCGGAAGCCAGAAAACAGGUGGUGCACGGUUGUCGUCAGCUCGUGUCGUGAGAUGUUGGGUUAAGUCCCGCAACGAGCGCAACCCCUAUCUUAUGUUGCCAGCACUUCGGGUGGGAACUCAUGAGAGACUGCCGCAGACAAUGCGGAGGAAGGCGGGGAUGACGUCAAAUCAUCAUGCCCCUUAUGACCUGGCUACACACGUACUACAAUGGGAGUUAAUAGACGGAAGCGAAACCGCGAGGUGGAGCAAACCCGAGAAACACUCUCUCAGUUCGGAUCGUAGGCUGCAACUCGCCUACGUGAAGUCGGAAUCGCUAGUAAUCGCAGGUCAGCAUACUGCGGUGAAUACGUUCCCGGGUCUUGUACACACC